rnacentral:rRNA from 1 species
UACGGAGGAUGCAAGCGUUAUCCGGAUUUAUUGGGUUUAAAGGGUGCGCAGGUUGUUUGAUAAGUCAGUGGUGAAAGUCUGUCGCUUAACGGUAGGAUUGCCAUUGAUACUGUUGGACUUGAAUAUGGAUGAGGUAGGCGGAAUGUGUGGUGUAGCGGUGAAAUGCUUAGAGAUCACACAGAAUAUCGAUUGCGAAGGCAGCUCACAAAGCCAAGAUUGACGCUGAGGCACGAAAGUGUGGGGAUCAAA